ensembl:lncRNA
GGAAGAUGCCAGGAUGGUGUAACGCGCUGCGUCACUGGCCUUUACUUUCACUUUAUGGAUGCCUUUUGUCCCCAGCUAAGUCAGCGCCAGGGUACUUUUACUCUGGGUAAAAUUGCCCUAAGCGGAGCUCAGUAUUAUUUCUGAGUGUAAUCAGAGAAGACGAGAGUUUUUAAACAGCUUUCUUUCGCUGUCUUCCUUUUUUGUGUGUGUGGAAUAUCUGGAUCAUGAGGUCAUAGUGAGGUGUCACCACAGAGGAUCAUGUGGCUCCAUCUCACCUCAUCCCAACCAUCUUUUUUUUGUCACACCACCCCUCUGCAUGUCCUCCUUCACUGAAUCCACGAACCUCCUCUGUGGUUUUCCUCUUUUCCUCUUGCCUGGCAGCUCCAUAUUCAACAUCCGUUCUCCAGUAUAUCCACAAUCCUUCCUCUGCACAUGACAAAACCAUGUCAGUUUUCCAAAGAAAAUUAUCCCCUAUUAUCCCCUGUUCCACUAUUGGGAUCACUGUGAGGAGUCAGAAGUAUGAAUUUUAUAGGUGCAUCAUAAAUGAAGACAUUAAAAGACUUAAUCGGCUUAAAAGAAAAUCGGCUCAAACCACAGAAUUUCUGUGACAAUAUUCCGUUUACAGAUGAGACAAAAGUUUGUUUUUAUUUGUUUGGAAAAAAAUGCACAGCCCUUUGUUUGCAUGGAAAAAAACACCUACCCCAAAACCUCAUCACCACUGUGACGCAUAGCGGAGGUAGCAUUGUGAUUUGAACUGCUUUGCUACCUCAGGAAGAUCUGCAAGAAGUAAUAGCCAUUUUUUAAAUGCUUAUUAUGGGGCUAACACAAAGACACAGAUAACUACUCACACCUACAGCAAAGUUCGAAUCACUAACAAGCAUGUUUUUGGAAGCAAGCUGGAGUACCCAGGGGAACACAUGCAUUCACAGGGACAGAAAGCUCCACACAGAAAGGCCCCAGCUGACUCCAGGAAAGGCUUGCUGUGAGGCAGCACUGCUAACUGCUGUGUCAGGCUAUUUUACAGUGGAAUAGAAUGCACAAAAUUGAGUGUGAGUCUUUCUUACCAUUAAGGAACUCUCC